ensembl:piRNA 21ur-6940 ncRNA
UUUGAAAAACAAAACCAAAAC